rnacentral:sRNA from 1 species
UUGAUAGUCCUGGGAACUAAAAUCCUCUAUUUAACUGAAAGAACAGUGGAAAAGGCAGUGCAAGCUUCAAUGUAAGCUUCCCCACAGUGCUCCACCAGUCUAGUGCCUUAAUCCUUUUCUGCACUCACACCCGAGGGGUGAGAGGACAGGUUAGCAGUUUUUAGCAUUGAAUCUCUAGCCAUU